UGUGUGCGCGUUUGGUUUGGCUGGCCGUGCUUGGUGUUGGGGUCUGGUAGCUACAGGCUAUGUAUUCAUUUGUGUGUGAUUCACUGUGGCUUUCUGGCUGGCGAUCUAGACUGUUACCCAGAGAUUCCUGAAGGUUUCAAAGCACCCAGAGGGACCAUUCGCAAGUGUUCCUUUUUUGAGAGCUAUUUAACCAUCACUUGUCAAUUGGCGUCAGCUGUUUGUUGAAGUGGGCGGAUUCUUUGGGUCAUGAAGUCUUAGGUGACCGUUCAUAAGCUGGAUCCUCAAAUCUUCAGUAUGUAUGACACAUCAGGCAGUAUCCCUACCCUCGGUGAGUUAUUUAUUUUCUUUCUUUUUCUUUUUUGAAGCAGCCAGCAGGGACCCAGGGCUAGUUAAGCAAGUCUUGCUUCCUAACCAGGAAGCCAGGGCUCCAGCGAAAGAAUCUCCUCUGCAGGAACCUGCUGCUCUGGAGAUGGGCCUGAGGUCUCACACAGAGGCGCCACGUUGGAGAAGAAACACCAACUCCACGGAGAAAGGCUGUGACGGGGCCUCUUCAUCAGGAUCCAGGUCUUCUGCUUUGAAAUCCAAAUUUUAGAAAACUUAAGAUAAAUCAACAGAGAAGAACAACAGAUCAACUUGGGGCUAAUAUCAGUAGCUGGGAAGACCAAUUAACAAAUUCCUGCAUUGUGCUGUUUACACUCCUAUUCCUGAGGUUAAUUAUGCGAUCAAGUAAUAGCUUUUGUCUUUGAUUACGGGGCCCUCAGGAAAUAAAAGUGUGUUUCCACUUUACAAGUGUGUUUGCAUUUCGGUCCUGUGUUGGUAGCAGGUACUGGGCUCAGCAAAUAUUGCCUUACACACGGUUAUCAUCAAAGGAGAGGGUCUUAAUUUUAAGAGCUUGGAGACUAGCUGAGUAAACAGAAGCAUAAUUUGAACAAGUGCUAACACCCACCUAUACAUCUCUCUCCCUGCUCUGGGCUACUGUUGGUUCUUUCCAGGUGCUGUGGCCUGGAAAAUGCCCAGUGGCAGGCUCUCUCCCAUGAUUUCCUAUUGGG